rnacentral:rRNA from 1 species
GACAGAGGUGCCGAGCGUUAGGCGGAAUCACUGGGCUUAAAGCGUGUGUAGGCGGAUCUGUAAGUACCUUGUGAAAUCCCACGGCUCAACCGUGGAACUGCUUGGUAUACUGCGGAUCUUGAGCCACCUAGGGGCAAGUGGAACAAACGGUGGAGCGGUGAAAUGCGUAGAUAUCGUUUGGAACGCCAAUGGUGAAAACAACUUGCUGGGGGUGUGCUGACGCUGAGACACGAAAGCCAGGGGAGCAAACGGG